rnacentral:rRNA from 1 species
CGAGGCGAACCGGGAGAACUGAAACAUCUAAGUACCCCGAGGAAAAGAAAUCAACCGAGAUUCCCUCAGUAGCGGCGAGCGAACGGGGAUUAGCCCUUAAGCAUCUUGGAAGUUAGUGGAACGGUCCUGGAAAGGCCGGCGAUACAGGGUGAUAGCCCCGUACACGAAAACAACCUUGAUGUGAAAUCGAGUAGGGCGGGACACGUGACAUCCUGUCUGAAUAUGGGGGGACCAUCCUCCAAGGCUAAAUACUCCUGACUGACCGAUAGUGAACCAGUACCGUGAGGGAAAGGCGAAAAGAACCCCUGUGAGGGGAGUGAAAUAGAACCUGAAACCGUGUACGUACAAGCAGUGGGAGCCCUUCGGGGUGACUGCGUACCUUUUGUAUAAUGGGUCAGCGACUUACAUUUUGUAGCGAGGUUAACCGUAUAGGGGAGCCGUAGGGAAACCGAGUCUUAACUGGGCGUCUAGUUGCAAGGUGUAGACCCGAAACCGGGUGAUCUAGCCAUGGGCAGGUUGAAGGUUGAGUAACAUCAACUGGAGGACCGAACCCACUAACGUUGCAAAGUUAGGGGAUGACCUGUGGCUGGGGGUGAAAGGCCAAUCAAACUCGGAGAUAGCUGGUUCUCCCCGAAAGCUAUUUAGGUAGCGCCUCGGACGAAUACUACUGGGGGUAGAGCACUGUUUGGGCUAGGGGGUCAUCCCGACUUACCAACCCCAUGCAAACUCCGAAUACCAGUAAGUAAUAUCCGGGAGACACACGGCGGGUGCUAACGUCCGUCGUGAAGAGGGAAACAACCCAGACCGCCGGCUAAGGUCCCAAAGUUCUGGUUAAGUGGGAAACGAUGUGGGAAGGCUCAGACAGCUAGGAUGUUGGCUUAGAAGCAGCCAUCAUUUAAAGAAAGCGUAAUAGCUCACUAGUCGAGUCGGCCUGCGCGGAAGAUGUAACGGGGCUCAAACCAGGCACCGAAGCCGCGGAUUCAC